AAUGAACGCUGGCGGCGUGCUUAACACAUGCAAGUCGUGCGCGAAGGCGGCUUCGGCUGCCGGAGAGCGGCGAACGGGUGAGUAACACGUGGGUGAUCUGCCUGGGAGCGGGGGAUAACCUGGGGAAACUCGGGCUGAUACCGCAUACGUUGGCGGGGUUGCGGUCCCGUCAAGAAAGCUGGCCUCUGCUUGCAAGCUAGCGCUCCCAGAGGAGCCCGCGGCUGAUUAGCUAGUUGGUGGGGUAAAGGCCCACCAAGGCGACGAUCAGUAGCCGGCCUGAGAGGGUGAUCGGCCACACUGGGACUGAGACACGGCCCAGACUCCUACGGGAGGCAGCAGUGGGGAAUAUUGGACAAUGGGCGCAAGCCUGAUCCAGCAACGCCGCGUGGAGGACGAAGGUCUUCGGAUCGUAAACUCCUGUCAGACGGGACGAACGGCCGCGGGUGAACAAUCCGCGGCCUUGACGGUAC
rnacentral:rRNA from 1 species